UCCGAUAUGGUCUAGUGGCUAGGAUUUGCCGCUCUCAUCAAGAGCAGUUCACUCUAGUAGUGCCGGCAAGGCCCGGGUUCGAUUCCCGGUGUCGGAA